AGUUCAGGCAGUGUAGGACUUCCCUUCCCGACCAGAGGUAUGUUCUCCCUGCAGGUGUGGCUCAGCAGAGCUCAGGAGCCAACCAAAUAAGCUGUGCUGGGAUCUGCACUCUUGUUUCUGGAGCUGACAGCAGCAAAAAAGCAUCAGGAGCAUGGGAAGCUGAGACACAGGAGAGAAAGCAGCAGCAAAGGCUCUGGGCUACUGGAGGCUGAACUACCUUCUGCAGAGGGCCUGUGUGUUUUCAGAGUUCAUCCUACAAACAACCAUCUGGGGGCAGGUUGUGAGCCUGUGGGACCUUUUCUUGAGAUAAAACAGCCAUUGCAUUUCUAUGUACCAGUCUGCAGCACACUCUAGCCCUGCAUUUUUUGGUACCAUGAUCUUAUUAAAGAUAAGUAAUCUCCAGAGAUA